UACGGGGGGUGCAAGCGUUAAUCGGAAUCACUGGGCGUAAAGGGUGCGUAGGCGGUACGUUAGGUCUGUCGUGAAAUCCCCGGGCUCAACCUGGGAAUGGCGUUAGAAACCGGCGCACUAGAGUAUGGGAGAGGGUGGUGGAAUUCCAGGUGUAGCGGUGAAAUGCGUACAGAUCUGGAGGAACAUCAGUGGCGAAGGCGGCCACCUGGCCCAAUACUGACGCUGAGGCACGAAAGCGUGGGGAGCAAACAGGAUUAGAUACCCUGGUAGUCCACGCUCUAAACGAUGAAUUCUAGAUGUUUGGUACCUAGCGUACUGAGUGUCGUAGCUAACGCGAUAAGUAUUCCGCCUGGGAAGUACGGCCGCAAGGUUAAACCUCAAAGGAAUUGACGGGGGCCCGCACAAGCGGUGGAGCAUGUGGUUUAAUUCGAUGCAACGCGAAGAACCUUACCUGGGCUUGACAUGUCCGGAAUUCUGCAGAGAUGCGGGAGUGCCCUUCGGGGAAUCGGAACACAGGUGCUGCAUGGCUGUCGUCAGCUCGUGUCGUGAGAUGUUGGGCUAAGUCUCGCAACGAGCGCAACCCUUGUCCUUAGUCGCCAGCGGUUCGGCCGGGCACUCUAGGGAGACUGCCGGUGACAAACCGGAGGAAGGUGGGGAUGACGUCAAGUCCUCAUGGCCUUUAUGUCCAGGGCUACACACGUGCUACAAUGGCGCGUACAGAGGGAAGCCAAGCCGCGAGGUGGAGCAGACCCCAGAAAGCGCGUCGUAGUUCGGAUUGCAGUCUGCAACUCGACUGCAUGAAGUCGGAAUCGCUAGUAAUCGCGGAUCAGCAUGCCGCGGUGAAUACG
rnacentral:rRNA from 1 species